GCCGAAGUGGCGGAACUGGCAGACGCGCUAGGUUCAGGACCUAGUUCCCUUAACGGGAGUGGAGGUUCGAGUCCUCUCUUCGGCACCU
rnacentral:tRNA from 1 species